rnacentral:tRNA from 1 species
GCACUCUUGGUUUAGUGGUAAAAUCAGCGCUUCCCAUGCGCUGGCCCCGAGUUCGAUUCCCGGAGGGUGCA